UACGGAGGGGGCUAGCGUUGUUCGGAAUUACUGGGCGUAAAGCGCACUUAGGCGGAUCAGUCAGUUAGAGGUGAAAGCCCAGGGCUCAACCCUGGAACUGCCUUUAAUACUGCUGGUCUGGAGUCCGAGAGAGGUGAGUGGAAUUCCGAGUGUAGAGGUGAAAUUCGUAGAUAUUCGGAGGAACACCAGUGGCGAAGGCGGCUCACUGGACGACUGUUGACGCUGAGGUGCGAAAGCGUGGGGAGCAAACAGG
rnacentral:rRNA from 1 species